rnacentral:rRNA from 1 species
GGGGCAACUCUGUUGAGUGGCGCACGGGUGAGUAACACGUAGGUAAUCUCCCCCCGAGUGGUGGAUAACCCUCCGAAAGGAGAGCUAAUACAGCAUGAGACCACGGCUUCGAAAGGAGCUGAGGUCAAAGCGGAGGAUCGCAAGACUUCGCGCUUGGGGAUGAGCCUGCGGCCCAUCAGGUAGUUGGCGGGGUAAUGGCCCACCAAGCCUUAGACGGGUAGCUGGUCUGAGAGGAUGAUCAGCCACACUGGAACUGAGACACGGUCCAGACUCCUACGGGAGGCAGCAGUGGGGAAUCUUGCGCAAUGGACGAAAGUCUGACGCAGCGACGCCGCGUGGGUGAUGAAGGCCUUCGGGUUGUAAAGCCCUGUGGGGAGGGACGAAUAAGCGUCGGUUAAUACCCGGCGUGAUGACGGUACCUCCUUAGCAAGCACCGGCUAACUCUGUGCCAGCAGCCGCGGUAAGACAGAGGGUGCAAACGUUGUUCGGAAUUACUGGGCGUAAAGCGCGUGUAGGCGGCUAUGCAAGUCGGAUGUGAAAGCCCUCGGCUCAACCGGGGAAGUGCACCCGAAACUGCAAAGCUAGAGUCUCGGAGAGGAUCGUGGAAUUCUCGGUGUAGAGGUGAAAUUCGUAGAUAUCGAGAGGAACACCGGUGGCGAAGGCGGCGAUCUGGACGAUGACUGACGCUGAGACGCGAAAGCGUGGGGAGCAAA